rnacentral:lncRNA from 1 species
AACGUUUAAAGGACUCCUCUCUCUGAAUUCUAAGCUGAUUAUGGAAGUUCUUAAUGAAAGCAUCUGCUCUUUCAUUAAUAUCAUCAUCCUCCAUAGUCAUCAUCAGCUUCCUUCUUCUCAUUCUCGUUUUCUUCUUCUCAUCACUCUUGCCAUCCAUGUUAACUCUGACUUGCUUAUUACAAACUUCUCCUUGAUUCUCCAUUUUAAGCCACUUAACUUUAUCUUGGGUUGGCCAAGUU